ensembl:lncRNA
CUCGCUCAUUAAUGUCUUAAUUGAAAUUAUGGAUGCUUCUUAUCUGCUGUCAGUAGAAACUACAUUUGUUAAAGCAAGUCAGCCAUACCAGCUAUGUUUUUUUUAAAUGCAGUAAAUGAAGCUGAAUGAACUAUUUGGCUGCCAGACACGGCUCCGGUGAUAGCCAGGUGUAGCAGUGGAUUCUUGGCACCGUUCCCACCGACCUUCCACUUGUCCUUGAGUGCCUUGAGCAGCUGUUUCAGCCUCCCUCUCCGUCUCCUCGUCAAAGAUUGAGCUGGGACAUGGAGAAGACCCAGUGGUCACUGUGGGGUCGGUAGAACAGGAUCUGGGGCGUGAUCUUUCCAAUGAAGCCUGGAGAGCACAAUAAACCAAAGGUCACGCAAGCGGGACUGAUCAGCAAGAACUCGAGAUAAGUGUAGUGAGUGCCCAGAAAUGAACAACAAUCUGAUGGUGUGAAAAAAAACAGCAGUCGAGUUUCUUUUUCUUUUAUAGAUUUCCUGC